rnacentral:misc_RNA from 1 species
AACGCACAUUGCGCUCCUUGGUAUUCCGAGGAGCAUGCCUGUUCGAGCGUCAUUAUCAACCAUCAAGCACGGCUUGGCAUUGGCCUCCGUCCCUCGGGACGGGGCCUAAAGACUUCGGCGGCGGUGUUGAACCCUAAGCGUAGUAAAAUACCAGCUUCGUGUGUUUGACACCGCUCUGCCUCCAAAACCCUUCGCCUCAAGGUUGACCUCGGAUCAGGUAGGGAUACCCGCUGAACUUAA